rnacentral:lncRNA from 1 species
CCAGUCUCUUCCCUUUCUCCUCCCCUUUUACCCUCUCCUCCGCUGCUGUUAUUACGUGGAGUUUGGAGCCUAAGCUUUGAAAACUCCCAUGUGGCGCGCCCGUCUUAAGUCUGAGCAUGCUCAGUA